UUACUGGUGUAAGAGUGUAGGCCGUGACAUAGGCAAAUCCGUGUCACAUUAAGGCUGAGACUUGAUGCAUACCCGUUGUGGGGAAUUCAGUGAUCCUAUGCUGCCGAGAAAAGCCUCUAGUGAGUUCAUACACGGCCCGUACCCCAGACCGACACAGGUGAUCAGGUAGAGAAUACCAAGGCGAUCGAGAGAACUGUGGUUAAGGAACUCGGCAAAAUGCCCCCGUAACUUCGGGAGAAGGGGGACCAUGCCCGGUGAACAUCUUCACGGUGGGAGCUGGGUGUGGUCGCAGAGACCAGAGAGAAGCGACUGUUUACUAAAAACACAGGUCCGUGCGAAGACGUAAGUCGAUGUAUACGGACUGACGCCUGCCCGGUGCUGGAAGGUUAAGAGGACCGGUUAGCCGUAAGGCGAAGCUGAGAAUUUGAGCCCCAGUAAACGGCGGUGGUAACUAUAACCAUCCUAAGGUAGCGAAAUUCCUUGUCGGGUAAGUUCCGACCUGCACGAAUGGCGUAACGACUUCUCUGCUGUCUCGACCACAGACUCGGCGAAAUUGCACUACGAGUAAAGAUGCUCGUUACGCGCGGCAGGACGAAAAGACCCCGGGACCUUUACUAUAGCUUGGUAUUGGCGUUCGAUUCGGUUUGUGUAGGAUAGGUGGGAGACUGUGAAGCAUGCACGCCAGUGUGUGUGGAGUCGUUGUUGAAAUACCACUCUGAUCGUAUUGGACGUCUAACCUCGGCCCAUGAUCAGGGUUAGGGACAGUGCCUGGUGGGUAGUUUAACUGGGGCGGUUGCCUCCUAAAGAGUAACGGAGGCGCCCAAAGGUUCCCUCAGCCUGGAUGGCAAUCAGGUGUUGAGUGCAAGUGCACAAGGGAGCUUGACUGUGAGACUGACACGUCGAGCAGGGACGAAAGUCGGGACUAGUGAUCCGGCACCGGCAAGUGGAAGCGGUGUCGCUCAACGGAUAAAAGGUACCCCGGGGAUAACAGGUUGAUCUUCCCCAAGAGUCCAUAUCGACGGGAUGGUUUGGCACCUCGAUGUCGGCUCGUCGCAUCCUGGGGCUGGAGUAGGUCCCAAGGGUUGGGCUGUUCGCCCAUUAAAGCGGCACGCGAGCUGGGUUUAGAACGUCGUGAGACAGUUCGGUCUCUAUCCGCCGCGCGCGUAAGAAACUUGAGGAAGGCUGUCCCUAGUACGAGAGGACCGGGACGGACGAACCUCUGGUGUGCCAGUUGUUCCACCAGGAGCAUGGCUGGUUAGCUACGUUCGGAAGGGAUAACCGCUGAAAGCAUCUAAGCGGGAAGCCUGUUCCAAGGUGAGGUUUCUCACCACCUUGCGUGGUUAAGGCCCCCUACAGACCAUGGGGUUGAUAGGCCGGAACUGGAAGCGCAGCAAUGCGUGGAGGUGACCGGUACUAAUAGGCCGAGGGCUU
rnacentral:rRNA from 1 species